AUCUUUGUGCUGGGGCAAUACUCAGCUAGUGAGGUAUUAACUGAAGUGCGUCAAUGGCUGGUUGAAAACUAUUUCCAAACCCCCUCUUUGGCCUGGGUUGGCCCUGGCUGUUGAGAAUAUCUAGAAGGGCUCCCUGUU
rnacentral:snRNA from 1 species